rnacentral:rRNA from 1 species
CCUACGGGUGGCAGCAGUCGAGAAUCAUUCACAAUGGGGGAAACCCUGAUGGUGCGACGCCGCGCGGGGGAAUGAAGGUCUUCGGAUUGUAAACCCCUGUCAUGUGGGAGCAAAUUAAAAAGAUAGUACCACAAGAGGAAGAGACGGCUAACUCUGUGCCAGCAGCCGCGGUAAUACAGAGGUCUCAAGCGUUGUUCGGAAUCACUGGGCGUAACGCGUGCGUAGGCUGUUUCGUAAGUCGUGUGUGAAAGGCGCGGGCUCAACCCGCGGACGGCACAUGAUACUGCGAGACUAGAGUAAUGGAGGGGGAACCGGAAUUCUCGGUGUAGCAGUGAAAUGCGUAGAUAUCGAGAGGAACACUCGUGGCGAAGGCGGGUUCCUGGACAUUAACUGACGCUGAGGCACGAAGGCCAGGGGAGCGAAAGGGAUUAGAUACCCUAGUAGUC